rnacentral:tRNA from 1 species
GGGGAUGUAGCUCAGUUGGUAGAGUGCUUGUCUUGCAUGCACAAGGCCUUGGGUUCAAUCCCCAGCACCACUA